GCACGAUCGCGAUGCGCCUCUUCCUCCAAAGGUUGUUCAUGCCAAGAGGAUAGAGAAGACCAACCUGCUGUUUGUGGUGGCCGAGACCCCCUGCAAGUCGUGCGAGAUGGAGAAGCUGGCUCAGGUGAAGACCGAGUUCCAGGAAGAGAACCCGUGUGAGCUGCUGAGCUUGGCGCGCUACAGGAGAGGGCCGUCCACCUGCUUCGACUACAACGUCCAGGAGAACACCUCCGAAUGUGGGCGGGGCUUCUCUCUGCGACCACCGUCGGCUGUCCUCCUGUGUCUUCAGCUCAUCUGCUCUGCCUGUCCACCUCUCUCUAGAUUUUGGCCCCUCCAAACGUUGGCCUCUUUUAGCACAGAUUCCUCUCCCCUGUCCUCCGUGGUCCAAGCAUUAGCGUUCUCACCGCCCGUACAUAACCGUGACCGUACAUCACUGACUGUACAUCAGCGGUCCUGAGCCCAGUUUAGUCACACCUUUCCCUUCCCUCUACGAGUGAACUGGGAUGAAGCAGCACAAACGUACGUGUCGGACAAAUCACUGUCGGUCUGUCUCACAAGGGUGUUUUGCCGGCGUACAAAGACGACCGACUGUGCUACCGUUCAGCGGUGAGGAAUAUAUGAAGAUCCACUAUUGUAUAAUAUGAAUGAUAGACGUGAAUGGGUGGAAUGGCAGCAAACGACAGAAAAACACCUGCAUGCUGUGGGUCUCUGGGAGUUUGUUUCAUCAACAGGGAGUCACGUCCUUUUUGGGCUGAGACCCCUCUGCCAAACAUUGUGGAUACAAAUAAAUAUGUCAGUGGUAGGAUAAUGUAAUAUGAA
rnacentral:lncRNA from 1 species